CAGGCGGCGCGGCGGCCGCGGUGGCAGCCUGGGAGCCCCGGCGGGAGGUGACACAGCCCGCGCCCACCCCCCCCCACCCCCCCCUCCAGCGCAGGCGGCACUGGCCCAGCUCAGAAGGGCGGGCUGUCGGCGAGCAGGGGCAGGGGCAGCGGCAGCCGCGGAAGGGACAGGAGUCCGCACAUCCGAGAGCUGCGGCCAGGGCGGCCAGGGCCUGAAUGCAGCUCUGGGAACCGGUGCCGCCCGGCUCCUUCCAGCGGCCUCCUCGCGUCCGGAGCCCAAGCUGACGCCGGGGCCAGAAGCAGCCAGAGGCCGUGCCCGGGCCCCCACCCCCCAGGGCAGGGGGCCCGGCGAGGCCUGGGAGGCAGACAGGCCGCCAGGUGCAGCAGGCCGGGCGGGGAGAUGCCUCACUCCUCGAGGACUUGCUCGGGGACGGCGGGCAGGGGCUGAGACCCCGCGACCCCGCGGUCACCGGUUGAGUCCCCUCAUAGGCCUGCUUGGAGACGCAGAAUCCGGCGCUCGGGAGAAUGCUCACGAUCGCAUAAGGGCACGUUGGCUCUCCCUGCCCGGGCUGCGUGUCCCUUGUUUUCAGGUGUGCCUUGACGCACUCCUAGACCCAGCUGGCGAAUGCCCACGGUCCCGGAGAACCCUUGGGGGGUUUCUAGACGCGGAUCCCAGCCUUGCUGGAGACUCGAUCCCCAGGACACCCGACCACCGCCCAACCUCCACCAAUUAGCCAUCUGGGAAACACCAGUCAGAACACAGCCAAUUUUGCCCAAAGAUGCCAAAAGCCGCAACAGCAAACAAGCCAAAUGUAGCCCAGAGGACCUCCGUGAGCACCGAUCGAACCAAACGGCUUCCUAGUUUCCGGUCGCUUUCUCUGUGUGCACGAGAAAACGAAUUGAGACGUGUGGAAAGAACCCCAUUUGGGCCGUCCGAGACUUCGAGUUUCCCAGUUAAUCCCCAGAGGUGGAUUACAACACGUCCAACCUUUCCCGGUGACCGUGGGGACACGCAGGAUUUCUCCCACUCUCCUCUCGACACGACGCACCUCCCGCUGCAAACGGACACCCCUUUUGCCACCCGUCUGUGGCAGGGAGCAGAAUUCCGGGGACUGCGGUCUUGGAGCUUCUCAGAUGGACCGUCCACCUCCUCACCGGCACUCGCGGUGCCAAAGGGAGCCCGCACGGGUGGCCGCCGGCCCUGCAGACACGACACGGCCACACCGGGUCCCCGAGCAUGGAAGUGAGCCUCGUGCAGAAAUUUUUAAAUCGCACAUGUAGUGUCCACUUCUGCUGAACAACCCUGAGCCAGACAACACAGGAUGAAGACUUCGUUUUCUUAAGAGGAAAGAACUCCUCUCAUCAACUUCCGUGAGAAGCGUUUACCUGAAGUCUCUAUUCUUACGUGUUCCUCUGGAGCUUCCCCGGAGCCGCCAAAUCCGUGCUCGACAGCUGCGUGAGCCAGCUGGCUGCAGACAGCUCCUGGAGUGCUUAAGGAUGAUUUCUUGGCAGCUUUUGGAAAAAAACACUAAUUGAAAGGUUAAUCAAAUCAGUCAUCCUCGCGUGUUGGUUAAGCAGACGCCCCGUCUCCGCCGCAGACUGAACAGAUGCGGGGCUCUGCGUCCGCGCCUUCGCUUUUGAGCACGGAAGCAGUGGGGUGGCAUUCUGAAUCGAAAUCGUGUUCUCGGUUGGGAAACUCUGCUUCCCUUUCAGGAUCUUGCGGGAUCUACGUUGGUAGCGACACUAAUUCCAAUUCUACAGGGGAUUUUUUUGUUUGUUCAUUCUGAGAGGGGGAGAGAGAGAAUCCCAAGCAGCCUCCACACUGUCGGCACAGAGUCCAAGGCGGGGCUUGAGUCCCUGAACCGACGUGAGACGAAGUCAAGUCAGACCCUUGACCAACCGGGCCACCCAGGCGCCUCUGCAGGUGUUCCGCCUAAACCAAGUUCAAGAGUUAAACUGUAGAGGCUGUGCGGUUAGAGAAUAAACCAUCAAGUGGGUCACAACUGUUUCAAGGAAGACGUCUGCUUCUAGGAAGGCAUUUCGGGAAUCGUUAUGGAAGCAAACUCUGAACACGCCAGAUGAGCACGUAAAGACAAUCAGAUUUAAACACGAGUGGCUGAGGAAACGACACAGAUCUGCAAUAUGACAUGUCCCCGUCAGGGAGAUGUCAGCACAACCACCUAGAAGGACUUCGCUCCUGGUGCCCUGAACGACGCGGGGCAGAUGAGGAGGGGCGGACGACCAAGCCCUCUGACGGAGCCUGCAAUCAGAGCUGUGCCCGGACACCCCUGGACGCCAUCGCCGUACCGUGCUGCACGCGAGAUCGCACCGCACGGCCAGCAUCCGAACCGAACACACGCAUCAGGAUCGGGAAGGAUCAGGAGGCGGAGGCCUUAUUCCCCCCAACGUCCAAACGCCGAAGCCUUCCUAUUUCCCGGUACAAGGCAAAAGUAUCAAGUGACUCACUGGGACGUGGGAGACAUUUAUGAAUUUAAUGGUGAGUUAUCAAGAGUAAGAAAGCAAAUGAGGCGUUUGCUGGGACGAAAGCAGAGAUAAAGUUGAGAAAAACAUGUGUCGGUUUUCCACAUCAGCAACGGAGCUGUGGAUGCUACGUACCGAUAAACGUCUGACACUUGAAACACUCUUCCAGCCAGUCCGGCGUCACGAUGUGCUUCACCACGGAGAUGGCCGUCAGGAACUUCACCGUGCGCGUCACUUUGCUGGCGAUGAGGUGUGUGCAUUUCUGCGCAGACUCGGCGACCUCGCCCCCAAGGAUGUAGAGCUUCUGGAGGGAGGGGCACAGAGCGGAGGUGAGCGCGGGGCCACACCUGAGCGAGGCACACUGCGCUGGCCUGAGAGCUGGGAGACGGCGAGCACAGCAACGCACACGGACGUGUCCGGAGUCGACCCCGCGCCUUGAGCUAAAACCAGCGAUUCCCCGAGGGCCCCGGUAUCACACCCCACAGACACGAUGCCCGGAGAACAAGGCGGUGCGUUUCACGAAAAGGCGCGAACACGCCCAGACUUUCUAAGCUGAAAUGGGUGUUGAUGAGGCACAUUAACAGACAGACCCUGUUCAUAAAAAUUAGAGAAGUGACUGAGAAGACGUGAACAUCCAGGAAAGAUCUCCGUAACUAGGCUCAAUUUUAAAAGUGAAAAAAACUGAUACGGCACUUAGGACGGUUUCUUCUUCUUCAAAACCUGAGCGGUACGAUGAACGAAGCCCAUGUGAUAACAGGCCGACUUACGCCCUCUGAACCGCCGCCCCCGAAACAAUAGCCAAGCGAGGUGUCCCCUCCCUUGUGCUGUUACUUCCGACAGCACGCUGAAGGCUGCGUUCCCACUUCCUGUCCAAGCACAAGCACGCGGCUGCCCUGGUCCCCACCCAGGAAAACCGGCCUCCGGUGGCCCGCGGCUUCCCCGACGCCGGGCGGGGGGAGGGGGGGGAGAGGGCACGCUUCCGGCACGAGCACGUUCAAGCAGGUUGCUCGCGUUCGCAGGACCAUAAAUGUGGGUCUUGUCUACUCACCCGAGUUAUAGUUUCUACUAUUAAGAGAGCAAGGGUCUAAGUAUAAAACUAUAAAAACCACAGAACAAGGUGAAACGUCACUUACGAUUUAAUGGCUACUUUUACUGUAAAAAUGACUACAACUGAUUUACAAGCCAAAAACUCUGUUGUAGCAAGACGUUCCCGAUUAAAUGUUACUUUAACACACUGCUAGCCUAAAGCCAAGUGUACAAAAAGGAACGGUGCUAAAACUCCUCCCAGAAGGUAGAAUGGAAUUUCACCUUAAUAUACUGUUGAACUUGCACAGGCUCAAAUCCAGUGAAAAGCACAAAAGGGGUCAAUUCUGGUGUUAACUUUUUGGUGGGAGGGGGUAGAUCUUCAAUUCUGUGAAAGAAAAUAAACAUGUUGUUUAACAAACAACA